GCAAGUCGAGCGGACCGACGGGAGCUUGCUCCCUUAGGUCAGCGGCGGACGGGUGAGUAACACGUGGGUAACCUGCCUGUAAGACUGGGAUAACUCCGGGAAACCGGGGCUAAUACCGGAUGCUUGAUUGAACCGCAUGGUUCAAUCAUAAAAGGCGGCUUCGGCUGCCGUUUACAGAUGGACCCGCGGCGCAUUAGCUAGUUGGUGAGGUAACGGCUCACCAAGGCGACGAUGCGUAGCCGACCUGAGAGGGUGAUCGGCCACACUGGGACUGAGACACGGCCCAGACUCCUACGGGAGGCAGCAGUAGGGAAUCUUCCGCAAUGGACGAAAGUCUGACGGAGCAACGCCGCGUGAGUGAUGAAGGUUUUCGGAUCGUAAAGCUCUGUUGUUAGGGAAGAACAAGUACCGUUCGAAUAGGGCGGUACCUUGACGGUACCUAACCAGAGAGCCACGGCUAACUACGUGCCAGCAGCCGCGGUAAUACGUAGGUGGCAAGCGUUGUCCGGAAUUAUUGGGCGUCAAGCGCGCGCACGCGGUUUCUUAAGUCUGAUGUGAAAGCCCCGGCUCACCCGGGAGGGUCAUUGGAAACUGGGGAACUUGAGUGC
rnacentral:rRNA from 1 species